GAUCCUGGCUCAGGAUGAACGCUGGCGGCGUGCUUAACACAUGCAAGUCGAACGAAGCCAAAAGGAAGCUUGCUUUCUUGAAGCUUAGUGGCGGACGGGUGAGUAACGCGUGAGUAACCUGCCCUUAAGUGGGGAAUAACACAGAGAAAUCUGUGCUAAUACCGCAUAAUGUCGGAGAGCCGCAUGACUUUCCGACCAAAGGAUUUAUUCGCUUAAGGAUGGACUCGCGUCCGAUUAGCUAGUUGGUGAGGUAACGGCCCACCAAGGCGACGAUCGGUAGCCGAACUGAGAGGUUGAUCGGCCACAUUGGGACUGAGACACGGCCCAGACUCCUACGGGAGGCAGCAGUGGGGAAUAUUGGGCAAUGGGCGAAAGCCUGACCCAGCAACGCCGCGUGAAGGAAGACGGUCUUCGGAUUGUAAACUUCUUUGAUUGGGGAAGAACAAAAUGACCUACCCAAAGAACAAGUCACGGCUAACUACGUGCCAGCAGCUGC
rnacentral:rRNA from 1 species